rnacentral:rRNA from 1 species
AGUCGAACGAGAGAUGAGGAGCUUGCUCUUCAAAUCGAGUGGCGAACGGGUGAGUAACGCGUGAGGAACCUGCCUCAAAGAGGGGGACAACAGUUGGAAACGACUGCUAAUACCGCAUAAGCCCACGGCUCGGCAUCGAGCAGAGGGAAAAGGAGCAAUCCGCUUUGAGAUGGCCUCGCGUCCGAUUAGCUAGUUGGUGAGGUAACGGCCCACCAAGGCGACGAUCGGUAGCCGGACUGGGAGGUUGAACGGCCACAUUGGGACUGAGACACGGCCCAGACUCCUACGGGAGGCAGCAGUGGGGAAUAUUGCACAAUGGGGGAAACCCUGAUGCAGCGACGCCGCGUGGAGGAAGAAGGUCUUCGGAUUGUAAACUCCUGUUGUUGAGGAAGAUAAUGACGGUACUCAACAAGGAAGUGACGGCUAACUACGUGCCAGCAGCCGCGGUAAAACGUAGGUCACAAGCGUUGUCCGGAAUUACUGGGUGUAAAGGGAGCGCAGGCGGGAGAACAAGUUGGAAGUGAAAUCCAUGGGCUCAACCCAUGAACUGCUUUCAAAACUGUUUUUCUUGAGUAGUGCAGAGGUAGGCGGAAUUCCCGGUGUAGCGGUGGAAUGCGUAGAUAUCGGGAGGAACACCAGUGGCGAAGGCGGCCUACUGGGCACCAACUGACGCUGAGGCUCGAAAGUGUGGGUAGCAAACAGGAUUAGAUACCCUGGUAGUCCACACCGUAAACGAUGAUUACUAGGUGUUGGAGGAUUGACCCCUUCAGUGCCGCAGUUAACACAAUAAGUAAUCCACCUGGGGAGUACGACCGCA